AGAACGAACGCUGGCGGCAUGCCUAAUACAUGCAAGUCGAACGAACACUUCGGUGUUAGUGGCGCACGGGUGCGUAACGCGUGGGAAUCUGCCCUUGGGUUCGGAAUAACAGUUGGAAACGACUGCUAAUACCGGAUGAUAUCGAAAGAUCAAAGAUUUAUCGCCCAGGGAUGAGCCCGCGUAGGAUUAGCUAGUUGGUGAGGUAAAGGCUCACCAAGGCGACGAUCCUUAGCUGGUCUGAGAGGAUGAUCAGCCACACUGGGACUGAGACACGGCCCAGACUCCUACGGGAGGCAGCAGUAGGGAAUAUUGGACAAUGGGCGCAAGCCUGAUCCAGCAAUGCCGCGUGGGUGAUGAAGGCCUUAGGGUUGUAAAGCUCUUUUACCCGAGAUGAUAAUGACAGUAUCGGAAGAAUAAGCCCCGGCUAACUCCGUGCCAGCAGCCGC
rnacentral:rRNA from 1 species